UACGGGGGGAGCAAGCGUUGUUCGGAUUUACUGGGCGUAAAGGGCGCGUAGGCGGCCAAACAAGUCACUUGUGAAAUCUCCGGGCUUAACUCGGAAAGGUCAAGUGAUACUGUCUGGCUAGAGUGCGGAAGGGGCAACUGGAAUUCUCGGUGUAGCGGUGAAAUGCGUAGAUAUCGAGAGGAACACCUGCGGCGAAGGCGGGUUGCUGGGCCGACACUGACGCUGAUGCGCGAAAGCUAGGGGAGCGAACGGG
rnacentral:rRNA from 1 species